UGGGGAAUAUUGGACAAUGGGCGAAAGCCUGAUCCAGCCAUGCCGCGUGUGUGAAGUAGGUCUUCGGAUUGUAAAGCACUUUAAGUUGGGAGGAAGGGCAGUAAGCGAAUACCUUGCUGUUUUGACGUUACCGACAGAAUAAGCACCGGCUAACUCUGUGCCAGCAGCCGCGGUAAUACAGAGGGUGCAAGCGUUAAUCGGAAUUACUGGGCGUAAAGCGCGCGUAGGUGGUUCGUUAAGUUGAAUGUGAAAGCCCCGGGCUCAACCUGGGAACUGCAUCCAAAACUGGCGAGCUAGAGUAGGGCAGAGGGUGGUGGAAUUUCCUGUGUAGCGGUGAAAUGCGUAGAUAUAGGAAGGAACACCAGUGGCGAAGGCGACCACCUGGGCUCAUACUGACACUGAGGUGCGAAAGCGUGGGGAGCAAACAGG
rnacentral:rRNA from 1 species